rnacentral:lncRNA from 1 species
GAUCAAAUCAUGAUUGAAUUAGAUUCAACAAGACCUAAUUAAAAGUUUUAGAUCAAUUUUUUUUGUGUGUGACCCAUUGGAUUUCACAUCUAGCCAACAGUAGGUCCAGACUCAAGUGCACCUAAUCCAAUUAAGUCCAAAACACAUUGAACCUAAAUGCAUCAAUUAAUUAAAACCCUUCUAAUUAAUGUGCUGUAUUAAAUUCUUUAAUUUAUUAAGUUUCACAAGUCAAGAUUGACAUCUAGUAACAUGUCAUGACUAUCCAGAA